UUGUCCUUGAAAUAUCUAAAUUAGCAUCCAUAUGGAAGCUCCUUCAUCCCAAUAUCUUCAUGCAAAGCUACAUAUUUACGUAAUCAUUUAUUUUGUUCCUAAUAUGUUUUUGUAAAAAACUAUGGGUAGAAUCCUGUUGAAGAAAAAAUUGAAUGGUAGUCUCAAAGAAAGAGUAGUGGGAUAGAUAAUUGUUGGUCAUCAAUUUAUGU
rnacentral:lncRNA from 1 species